AGGUCCCCUCGGGCUGUGGCCGCAGCGGCAACUGCUGGGUUGCGGAGUCCUGGCUGGCUGAGGGAAUGGACACUGAAAGGUGCCCGGAGACCCUGGCACCCGCGUCAGACGCCGGCCGGCGAGGGUGCUGAGAGAGAGAGACCUUGAGCAGCGCUGCGCGCGUCCUCAGCUCUGCGAGCCCCCUCUGGAGCGGCGGGGAGGCAAUUAAAAUGAAGACUGUUUCCAUGCGGGCCCCCGUGAAAGGGAUUCCUGUGUAUCUCAAGCAACAAAGAGAGCUGUGGAGCAAGGAGAUUCCCUGUGUAAUCGGGAGCACUGGAUGUGAAUCCCAGGUCUGGCAUGGGAACCUUGGAAUACUCAGUGAGUGAUGCUGAGUGGAAUGUUACGUAUCACCAUCAUCAUCAG
rnacentral:lncRNA from 1 species